rnacentral:lncRNA from 1 species
CAGUAUCAGAUGAUCCGUUAGAUACGGAUACCCAGCAGCUGGAGAGAACCAUUCCUCGAAUUGAAAGGUCUAGAUCUUUUGGAGAUGAAGAUGCAGUUUCAGAUGACCCGUUGCAGGAGGAUGAUAUGGAACAGAACUUCAGCAGCAUCCACCAAAACAAGAGGACCAAAUUUGCAGAAAGACAGGAGGAUAUUACAGAUGAGCUGCGAAAUAGUAGUACUCGUCGCUAUCCAAGGAAGACCCCAAGAGGGAAGCACGGUAGAUUCAUUAAGGGGGAGAUUGAAGAUGCAGAUUCUGAUCAUUUGGUGGGAGAGGAUUUCAAUGAGCAGCAAGGGAGGACACUAGGAAGCAAGCAGAAAAAACAUACUAGAGGUCGAACUCCUCCAUCGGGGAAGAAGCCUAUGCAGAAAGAGACUCCUUUGAGGCCGGUUAAGCUGGAAA